AAUACGUAGGACCCAAGCGUUAUCCGGAGUGACUGGGCGUAAAGAGUUGCGUAGGUGGUCAGUAAAGCGAAUAGUGAAAUCUGGUGGCUCAACCAUUCAAGCUAUUAUUCGAACUCACUGACUCGAGAACAGCAGAGGUAACUGGAAUUUCUGAAGUAGGGGUAAUAUCCGUAGAUAUCAGAAGGAACACCAAUGGCGUAGGCAGGUUACUGGGCUGUUUCUGACACUGAGGCACGAAAGCGUGGGGAGCGAACCGGAUUAGAUACCCGGGUAGUCCACGCCGUAAACGAUGGAUACUAGCUGUUGGAGGUAUCGACCCCUUCAGUAGCGAAGCUAACGCGUUAAGUAUCCCGCCUGUGGAGUACGGUCGCAAGACUAAAACAUAAAGGAAUUGACGGGGACCCGCACAAGCGGUGGAUCAUGUUCUUUAAUUCGAUGCUAAACGAAGAACCUUACCAGGGCUUGACAUCCCGAGAAUUUCUCCGAAAGGAGAGAGUGCUUUAUUGAACUCGGUGACAGAUGUUGCAUGGCCGUCGUCAGCUCGUGUCGUGAGAUGUUUGGUUAAGUCCAUCAACGAGCGCAACCCUUGUGAAUAGUUGUAUUUUUCUAUUCAGACUGCCCCGGCAACGGGGAGGAAGGAGGGGAUGAUGUCAGGUCAGUAUUACUCUUACGUCCUGGGCUAGAAACGUGAUACAAUGGCAGGUACAAUGCGCAGCGAAGCCGCGAGGUGAAGCAAAUCGCACCAAAGCCUGUCCCAGUUCGGAUUGGAGGCUGAAACUCGCCUCCAUGAAGUCGGAAUCGCUAGUAAUCGCAAGUCAGCAAAUUGCGGUGAAUACGUUCCCGGGUCUUGUACACACCGCCCGUCAAACCAUGAAAGUGACCAACACCCGAAGUCCGAUUCGUCGGCCUAAGGUGGGGGGCAUGAUUGG
rnacentral:rRNA from 1 species